AUUCCUCUUCCUAGUUCCUCGAGUUCCGCGCGCACUGCGGUCGCGGCGCUGGCCUCCACUGCCUAACUCUUUGGAGACUUACACUGGGGAUUUGGCGGCCAGGGGCGGGGGUUAUCUGUCUGAUCUGUCUGUUGGAUCGCGGCCCUGAUUUCUCCUUUUCGGAAGCUUAGCGGGAAGGCGUUCGGAGGGCUCUGUGCUUGCAAAUUCGUGACUCUUGAUUCCUGUGGAGUCUCUUGGGUUCACAGUUUUCAUAUUCUCUGAUAGGACCGCACUCAUUCAUGUGAUACCUAUGCAAAGUCGUCCGCCAGGCUGUAGUGUCUGACCGGAGGUCUUAUUAUUGGAGCCUAAAUUUAUUCAACAGUAAGGUCGGGAUAACAUUUUACUGGACUGUUAAAAAAAAAAAGCAUUUUAGCAUUAAAAGAACUGCUGUACCUGUGGCGCCGUUUUGUUACGUGUCUUCUAUUUGAGUACUUCCAUUCUGCCGAUGCACUCUGAUUGGGGGAGGAAGAGUUGGAAGAAGCUGGUGGGUGUGAAAAUGAGUCAGAAUCGGUCUCACCUUUCAAAAGCUACUGUUAACCUAGAGAAGAUUUAUGGUGUUUGGGAGCUAAGAGAAGGUUUAAAAAGGCAGUAAAGUUUGUGCAAGUAUUCAUGAACUGGGCAGUUUUAUAAACAGAAAGCAGCCUGAGUAUCCAUAGAAGCAAGGAAGAUCAAGCUCAGUAGCGGGUAGUCUGGCCUACCAACGCCAGGAAAUACACUUAUGGGGAAGUAACGACUGGAUAGGAAUUAGACCACCUAGGUGCCUGGAAUGCCAAGAUGAAACAUUAGGAAUUUAAUGUCAUUUAAACUCAAGGGUUACAGCUAUGACUCCAAAGUCACCUUCGAUGGUAAUAUGCCUAAUAGUCUCUGGUUCCAAUUCAUUCUUCACAGUGUUGCCAGAGUCAUCCUUAAAAGUGCCGCACUCCUUACUGAAAACCUUGGAUGCUCAGCGUUAUCCUAAUUGCCAAAGUCCAAGGACAUUUUCCAUUCUCCAUCCUAUUUGAUUUCUCGUUGUGGCACUUUAGUCAUGUAGUCUUGCCUAGAAACUGUUGAAGUUGGAAGUUUGAAGGUGGAGGUUUUUUUUUUUUUUAAGUAUUUAAACCUUUUAUUAUGUAUUCGAAUAUAGACUAUUAACAGUGUUGUGUUCUUUUCAGGUGAACAUUGAAGGGACUCAGCCAUACGUAUACGUGUAUCUACUCUCCCCCGAACUCCUCUCCCAUCCGGGCUGCCACAGAACAUUGAGCAGAGCUCCUUGUGCUAUACAUUCUGGAGAGUCCAAGGCCAAGGGAAAACUCUCUUCCUGUUUCAUGGUUGGCCCCUUCUAGCUAUGUAAUCACAAGAUUGAAGUGAUGUGUAAGUUCUCUGAGAUUUCUAAGAGCACCAACACCAUUUGUGAGGGCUCCUCCCUCAUGAUUUAAGUACUUCUCAAAGGCUCCACCUCCUAAUACCAUCAUUUAUGGGGAUUAGGGUUUCAAAUUCUAACUUCAAGGGUUAGAACUUUGAGAGGGACCCUUAGGUCUACCUCAGUACCCAUUAAACUAUCAUCACAA